rnacentral:misc_RNA from 1 species
UCCGAGUUGUCCCCGGCAGUCCUCUUAGAGUCCCCGGCAUUACCCGCUGGCAACUAAGAGCAGGGGUUGCGCUCGUUGCGGCACUUAACCCAACAUCUCACGACACGAGCUGACGACAGCCAUGCACCACCUGUGAUCGAGUCCCGAAGGAGGGCCGUAUUUCUACGGCUUUCCCGACCAUGUCAAGCCUUGGUAAGGUUCUUCGCGUUGCAUCGAAUUAAACAACAUGCUCCGCUGCUUGUGCGGGCCCCCGUCAAUUUCUUUGAGUUUUAACCUUGCGGCCGUACUCCCCAGGCGGAUGACUUAACGCGUUAGCUGCGCCACCGAAACUCCAUGAGCCCCGACAGCUAGUCAUCAUCGUUUACGGCGUGGACUAC